AUACGUAGGUGGCAAGCGUUAUCCGGAAUUACUGGGUGUAAAGGGCGCGCAGGCGGCCUUGCAAGUCGGAUGUGAAAGAUCAAGGCUCAACCUUGACAGGUCAUCCGAAACUGUAAGACUUGAGUGUCAGAGGGGAAAGUGGAAUUCCUAGUGGAGCGGUAAAAUGCGCAGAUAUUAGGAGGAACACCGGUGGCGAAGGCGACUUUCUGGCUGACAACUGACGCUGAGGCGCGAAAGCGUGGGGAGCAAACAGGAUUAGAUACCCUGGUAGUCCACGCCGUAAACGAUGAUUACUAGGUGUAGGGGGUAUCGACUCCCUCUGUGCCACAGUUAACGCAGUAAGUAAUCCACCUGGGGAGUACGGCCGCAAGGUUAAA
rnacentral:rRNA from 1 species